AUUCAACUGGCGAGUCCCAAAUAGGACGAGACGCGCGUCUUAGAU
rfam:Schistosoma mattheei strain Denwood, Zambia genome assembly, scaffold: SMTD_scaffold0009731